CGGCGAACGGGUGAGUAACACGUGAGCAACCUGCCCCGAAGACUGGGAUAACACCGGGAAACCGGUGCUAAUACCGGAUACCCCCACCAAGCCGCAUGACCAGGUGAGGAAAUGAAUUUCGCUUCGGGAGGGGCUCGCGGGCUAUCAGCUUGUUGGUGGGGUAACGGCCUACCAAGGCGACGACGGCUAGCUGGUCUGAGAGGACGACCAGCCACACUGGGACUGAGACACGGCCCAG
rnacentral:rRNA from 1 species